rnacentral:rRNA from 1 species
GGAGGGUCCAAGCGUUGUCCGGAUUUAUUGGGUGUAAAGGGUGUGUAGGCGGGCUUGCAAGUCAGAGGCGAAAGCCUACGGCUCAACCGUAGAACUGCCUUUGAUACUGCAAGUCUUGAGUCCUGGAGAGGUUGUUAGAAUUCGUGGUGUAGCGGUGAAAUGCGUAGAUAUCACGAGGAAUACCGGUUACGAAGGUGGACAACUGGACAGGUACUGACGCUGAGGCACGAAAGCGUGGGGAGCAAACAGGAUUAGAUACCCUGGAAGUCCACGCCGUAAACGAUGAUCACUCGGUGUCGCGGAGCAAUCUGCGGUGCCUAAGCAAACGCAUUAAGUGAUCCACCUGGGGAUACGAUCGCAAGGUUG